CGAACGCUGGCGGCGUGCCUAAUACAUGCAAGUCGAGCGAGCGGAACCAACAGAUUUACUUCGGUAAUGACGUUGGGAAAGCGAGCGGCGGAUGGGUGAGUAACACGUGGGGAACCUGCCCCUAAGUCUGGGAUACCAUUUGGAAACAGGUGCUAAUACCGGAUAAUAAAGCAGAUCGUAUGAUCAGCUUUUGAAAGGCGGCGUAAGCUGUCGCUAAGGGAUGGCCCCGCGGUGCAUUAGCUAGUUGGUAAGGUAACGGCUUACCAAGGCGACGAUGCAUAGCCGAGUUGAGAGACUGAUCAGCCACAUUGGGACUGAGACACGGCCCAAACUCCUACGGGAGGCAGCAGUAGGGAAUCUUCCACAAUGGACGCAAGUCUGAUGGAGCAACGCCGCGUGAGUGAAGAAGGUUUUCGGAUCGUAAAGCUCUGUUGUUGGUGAAGAAGGAUAGAGGUAGUAACUGGCCUUUAUUUGACGGUAAUCAACCAGAAAGUCACGGCUAACUACGUG
rnacentral:rRNA from 1 species